rnacentral:rRNA from 1 species
GACGAACGCUGGCGGCGUGCUUAACACAUGCAAGUCGAACGGAAAGGCCCUGCUUUUGUGGGGUGCUCGAGUGGCGAACGGGUGAGUAACACGUGAGUAACCUGCCCUUGACUUUGGGAUAACUUCAGGAAACUGGGGCUAAUACCGGAUAGGAGCUCCUGCUGCAUGGUGGGGGUUGGAAAGUUUCGGCGGUUGGGGAUGGACUCGCGGCUUAUCAGCUUGUUGGUGGGGUAGUGGCUUACCAAGGCUUUGACGGGUAGCCGGCCUGAGAGGGUGACCGGCCAAAUUGGGACUGAGAUACGGCCAAGACUCCUACGGGAGCAGCAGUGGGGAAUAUUGCACAAUGGGCGGAAGCCUGAUGCAGCAACGCCGCGUGCGGGAUGACGGCCUUCGGGUUGUAAACCGCUUUCGCCUGUGACGAAGCGUGAGUGACGGUAAUGGGUAAAGAAGCACCGGCUAACUACGUG